GGCUGUUUUGAUAUUUUAGAUAGUUUUGGGGGAGAAAGUGAGAUAAGAUAAGUAAUUAGAAAAAGAUAUAAAUAGGAGAAGACCUAAUAUUUUAGAAACUCAUUUUGUACGUGAAAACUUUUGGAAGAAGGGAGAAAAGCCAAGUCUAGAGGAAUCAAGGUAGAGUGCUGCGAUUUUCUUCAUUCAAGGUAAGGGUGAGACUAGUAAUUCAAUAGCAUUGAUUGUUGUAAUUCUGAUGAUUAAUUGACAAAGUUAGGAUUGAUUUAGAAAAGUUUUGGGAAUUAGGUUAAAACCCUAAAAAUUGAUGAUCAAACGGUAAAACUUGUUUAGAUUGAUGUAGAAACCGUCCUUUAACCUUAGAAUAUGUUUAGGAUGAAUUCUGGAAUCAAAAUUAGGCUUUGAACCAUGUUGUGUGAUGGAUUUUUGAGAAAAACCCUAGUCUGCCCGUGCUUCUGUUCAUCGCUCGCCACGGCGAGGGAUGAUCCUCGCCUCGCGAGUGAUGAACUUCAUCGCUCGCCACGCGAGCCCCUUUCCUUCGCCUCGCGAGUUGUUUGGUCCAACUCGCCAUGGCGAGCAACCCUUUCUCGCCUCGCGAGCUCAGGCAGAGAGCAUGUCAUGUUUCGUGUUUCGACCUUUUUAGUUGAAUCUUGUAUACCCUUGAGUACCUGAACAUACCUAGUAUUGAUUAGGAAUGAAUGUAGGAUCAGAGGGAACCCAGAACGACCUUAGUUUGGGAGUUGAGUGGUACUCGCCAUGGCGAGUAAGAGCUCUCGCCUCGCGAGUAUAGCCAGGAUGAACUUGAUUAUGUGUUUGUGCGAUCUGUGUCGCACUAGUUGAUCAAGAGUAAACCCCUAUCUGGUAAUGAGACCUAGUGAUGUUGUUUAAUACAGACUGUAGAGUUGUUUAAGUUAUAUUAAUAUUAAUUGGAUAAGAACUAUUGUAUUGUAUAUUCAUGCAAAAUGAGAAGAUGUGAUAAUAAUGCAAUUUAUGUGCUAUUGAUAUAAUGAUAUCAUCUUGAUAUGUGACUUGUUUAUGCUGCUUCCGUUGUUUAACUAAGUGCAUAAGUAUAUGAUGAAGUUUAGCUCCAAAUUAUUGGAUGCAUGUUGAUAAGUCGAUUACGUUGUUUUGUUCAUAUGUGUCCAUGCAUAGCAUAUCAUUGAGCUUUGUCCUCACCACGAAAAUUAGGAGCUUUGUCCUCCGCACGUUUUAUAGGAGCUUUGUCCUCCGCACGAUUAAAGUAUAUUAAUACUUAUGAUGACGAUUGGUACCACAUGCAUAUAAGGAGUCUAGGAGCAUUGUCACAUUGUCAUGAUUAAGAUGCCUUGUUGAUGAUGAAUGGAUAUGUGAUUACGUGAUAAGUGUUCAUUGAUUAUGUUAUGUUGUUUAUAAUGAUUGGAUAUAUGAUUACGUGAUAACUGUUUAGCAUUUAUGCAAAGUUAAUAAAGAAAUGAUUAUAAUGUUAAUUUAUGAUUCGCAAUUACAUUGAUUAAUGUUAUUUUAUUAUGAAAUCUCACCCCUUCUGCUUGAAAAUGUUGCCCUUCGUAUGGGUAACUUGCAGGUGAUCGUGCUUAGUGUGCAGUUGCUUCUGUGAGUGGCCUUGCCUCACUGUGUCGUCUAGGUCGCUCUGAUACGUAACGGGAUGGGGUUAAUGCUAUAACAUGCUUCAUUCUUUUACGUGAACUGCCA
rnacentral:lncRNA from 1 species